rnacentral:rRNA from 1 species
UACGGGGGGGCAAGCGUUGUUCGGAAUUACUGGGCGUAAAGGGCUCGUAGGCGGCCAACUAAGUCAGACGUGAAAUCCCUCGGCUUAACCGGGGAACUGCGUCUGAUACUGGAUGGCUUGAGUUCGGGAGAGGGAUGCGGAAUUCCAGGUGUAGCGGUGAAAUGCGUAGAUAUCCGAAAGAACACCGGUGGCGAAGGCGGUGGUCUGGGCCUGAACUGACGCUGAGGAGCGAAAGCCAGGGGAGCAAACGGG